AAAGGAAUUGACGGGGGCCCGCACAAGCGGAGGAGCAUGUGGCUUAAUUCGAUGCAACGCGAAGAACCUUACCAGGGCUUGACAUGUAACUGCAAGUCCCGUGAAAGCGGGAUGCCUUCGAGGGUGUUACACAGGUGCUGCAUGGCUGUCGUCAGUUCGUGCCGUGAGGUGUUGGGUUAAGUCCCGCAACGAACGCAACCCUUAUGUUUAGUUGCCACUACUGGUGAUGAAUCAGUAAGCACUCUAGACAGACUGCCUGUUUCAAAUAGGAGGAAGGUGGGGAUGACGUCAAGUCAGUAUGGCCCUUAUGCCCUGGGCUGCACACGUGCUACAAUGGUCGGUACAGAGGGUUGCGAGAUCGCAAGAUUGAGCUAAUCCCCAAAAACCGGCCUCAGUUCGGAUUGGAGUCUGCAAUUCGACUCCAUGAAGUCGGAUUCGCUAGUAAUGGCGCAUCAGCUACGGCGCCGUGAAUACGUUCCCGGGCCUUGUACACACCGCCCGU
rnacentral:rRNA from 1 species